CAGGUUCAAACUCUGGUCCUGCUGUUUGUUCAGGGAAUUUGUACUCAGUCCCUCCAACCCCCUGGUCUUGGGAAGGGCACAGACAGAAAACAGAGAAUCUCACAAAUGAAUAUAUAAUGUCAUUUGGUAAGUGCGUGUGAUGGAAAAGAUCAAAUAAGCAAGCGUGGAAAGCAGAAUAACAGUCCGCCAAAGACGUCCACGCCCCGGUCCCCAGAACCUGGGACCGUGUUGGUUACACGGCUCAGAGGCCUUAGGCCGCAGCUCGAGUCGAGGUUAGUAAACAGCUGACCUUUGGUUUCCACAGAUCACACUAGAUUUUAUUUUUUUUCCUAAUUUUAAACAUUAGGAAAGUUGGUAUAUGUGACAGUUUCAUAUGCAUGGAUUGGAGGGUCAUAGGGCUGUGGCGUCACGUGGGCAGGAAAGAAGAUAAAGAAACCCGUGAGAAAUCAUAGAAUAAGUGAAAUGCAAAGCAAAUUGGAGUGACCCACGUUUAAGGAACAUUUAAAGAUGGUGGGGUUUUUUUUUUCGAUUUCUACUCAUUUGAUGUUUCGAGUGUUUUUUUCCUUCUUCUUCUUCUCUCCCCAAAGGCCCCCAGUGCGUAGUUGUAAAUUUUAGUUGCAGGUCCUUCUAGUUGUGGACGUUUCAGUUUUUAUCGAGGAAAUCUUUGUUUAUUUUGACUGAUCCAUUCCUUAUUUCCAUUGAGGUAUAACUGACACCUGACGUUGUGUUAGUUUCAGGUGUGGGACAUCACGGUUCGCUGUUUGUGUGCGCUGUGAAGCGAUCACCACAGUAAGUCUGAAAGCUGACAUCCCUCACGGACACGGUUAUAACACGUUCUGCUUUUUCCCUGUGGUGAGGACUUCAGGCUCUGCCCUCAGCUGCUUUUCCACAUGCGCUGCGGUGCUGUUCCCUGCAGCCACCGCGCUGGGCGUGACGCCCGGGACUCAGCGACCCAAGCAGCUGACCUCAUGGAGAGAUCACCCCGGACUCUCCAGGUGGGGCCAGUGUCAUCAGAAAGAGCCUGAAAAGCGGAAGAGGACGCAUAUCUGAUGUUACCCGUCGGUCACACCUCAGGAGGAAAAGCGGACGAGAACGGAGAGAGCCAGCGAGACGAAGACGGCCGGGUGACAAGGGAGGCCAGGGGCCCCGGGCCGCGUGCUGCGCUCUCAACAACCCCAGUGAGCAGGAGUCGGUGCCCCGGAGCCUUGGGACGGGAGCGCAGCCUGUGGCACCUCGGGCUAAGCUUUCGGGGACCCUGAGCAGAGAGGUGCCGAGCCCCCCGCACCUCCCACCCUUGGAAACUGUGCUGAUAGCUGGCUGCCAUGUUAGUACCACAUUGUGCUUGUUACACAGCAGCACGUUACAGCGGCAGAUGGAAAGCCCACAGCCAGUUCCCCAGGGCCAGUGGAGUCUGGUCUGGGUCACAGUGGGCUUCCUGAAAAAGCAGCCUUUGAGGUGAGACCCGUAGGAUGAACCUCGCCGACUUGGCAAAGGGCAGAGGCAGAGGGAACAGAAGGUGCAAGGGCCCUGAGGCAGGAGGAAAUCAGCUCAAGUGAGAAAAGGAAGGAAGCCCAGUGCGACUGGGAGGCAGACCCCGGGCACGUCGCUGCGCUCUCUGAGCCUCAGUUUCCUCCCCCGCGAGGUGGGAUUAUAGGAGCUUUCCCUCACUAUGAGGGUGAGACGGCCCUGCAAGCUGUGUAGCAAAGCAGCUGGAGACGUGGGCCCCACAGCCAGCCCAGACCGGGGCUCGAGCUCCAGGUCUUCUGCUUACUGCCUGGGUGACCGUGGGAGGCUGCAUCCCCUCUCUGAGCCUCAGUUUCCCUCUCUGCCAGGCUGCUGUCAGUCUUAGAUAAGAGCGUGUCAGUGGUGCUCAACAAAUGCUGGCUAUCAUUGUCAUCGUUUUCGUUAGGAGACGGGGACCCAAAGUCGGACAGGAACGUGCUCAGGGUCCCCCAGAGACUGGUGGGCGCACUGGGUAGAAACGAGUCUCCCGAUCCGGCCGUGGACCCCCCAGCUUCUCCGUCUGAAGGCCGCACCAACCGAGGCGGCGGGACUCAGCCAGGAAGGCUGUGUGCGUGUGAGUGUGAGCGUGCACACACGUGCAUGCAAGAGCGUGAGGGGGAGCCAGAGUGUGUGUGUAAAGGUACAUGUGUGAGUGUGCAUGGGUGUGUGAAUGUGCUUGGUGGUGUUGAUGAGACAACAUGGCCUGGGGGACAGACGGACGGUCAUCAGUGAGUCCUUGUGCCUGGUCAGGCCGGCCCCCGGGGAGGGGGGGGCAAUACUCACCAAGAGGCUCCUGGCCCUGGUGGGCUCCUUACAGCCACAGGCCGUCAUUUCAGACGGUGUCUGUCCAGGGAGCAGCUGACCCUCUGGGGCGCGUUUCACGGGGAUGGCGGGGCGGGGCAGGAAGUGACCCUUCUCCUCAGGGAGUCGCGACCCGGCUCUGUGCUCGUGGCUUCACGUACAUCUCCUUAUGUAGUCAGCACAACAGCCAUAUUAUUCACAUUACAAAUGAGGAAACUGAGGCUCUGGGAGCCCGGGAGACCCCAGUUCUGCAUCUCCGCUGUGCUCAGAGCCCUUGCAGCAUUGGCUGCGGCUGCAGCCAUCAACAGGCCGUGUGCCCCUCCCACCUCUUGGAUCUGAGCUGGUCCUGUAAUUCGCUUUGGCCAACAGACUUGCCGGCAGAGAUGUUGUGCCAAAUCUAAGCUCAUGCCCCUGACAGCCUUGCGUGCUUCUGCCCUCUCUCGGACUCCUGUCCCCAUCAGGAGAACAAGCCUGGCAGAGAAGGAGCGACAGGUCACCCAGCCGUGCCCUCACCUAGAUGAUCGUUAGCCACGCCCCAGAACAGAGCCUCCAGCUGGCCCAGCAGGCAACUGCAGAGCGUGAGGGACCCCAGCUCAGACCAGAAGAACCAUCGAGCUGAUGGUUCAGGCUAAAUUAACUCACUGAAUCAUGUUGUUUUAAACUUUGGGGUCAUUUGUCACCCGGUGGUAGCUAACUGAUACCCAUAAUCAUACAGCUGUUGAGUAGAGUAAGUUUCAAACCCAGGUUUGUCUGACUCCAGAAUUCAUGCUCAACCCUAUAUUCUGCCAUCCCCCAGCGGGGAAAUGAGUGUAAGGGUCCAAAGCCACUGAUGGUCCCACUCUGCCCUCACACGCUUCAGUCUUCGUCUUCCGGGAGCACGCCCAGUGCCUGCUCUCUCCACCUGGGAGCUCCUGCCUGGCUCGGGCCCUUUCACCCCCUUCUCUUACCACAGUCCAGGCAGGGACCGAGCGCUGGCCGCAGCCUCGGGUGCCCCCAGCCUCCACCUAGAUCAGCACUGUCCCCCCUCAUUUGCGAAGUCCGUGCAGAGAGCUGGCAGAACGAACCCACGGUUUCGACACGUACACAUCAGCGGCCACGAUAAAAACCAGCUGGAAGGUUUAAAAAUAGCCUCCCAGGCUGCCGGAGAUGCCAGGUCCCUGGCCGGGAGGAGCAGCAGCCCCGCGGCGGGGGCACCAUCUGCGGGGCAACAGCUGCCGCCGCACGCCCAGGAGACUCCCGGCCGGGCCCAAGACGCCCGAGAGCGUGGCCGAGCCUGAGCCCCUGGGAGCACAAGCCCCCAGACAGGGGAGGACGGAGAGGAAGAUGACGCCGGGCCCAGGAGGAGGCGCUUCCUCCUCCCCCUUGUCAAACCUCUCUCUCCUUUCCCUCCUAUCCCCCAUCUCUCUCCUCCUUCAUCACCCCUGUAAUUAAUGCUCGGGCGGGCCGUGGAGGGACAGGACCCACGCCCUACCCUCCCAGGCUGUGCGAUCUUAAGCAGGUGACUCCACCCCAUGAGCCUCAGUUUCCUCAUCUGUCAGAUGGGGCCCCUGCCUUGCUGGAUGGUGCUGUUUCCGCAGGACAGCGCCAGUGAAGAGCUCAGCGGAGCCACCGGCAAGUCCGCGAGAGCCCCGUCUCCCCUCUUCCGAGAAGGCUGACGGUGAUGGUGAGGACCCCACGCCAGCCCCGCGCUCGUCCUCUCCCUGGCCCCUCUCCCUGCUUCUGGCCCUAGGCCUCUCCUUCCCCUCUCAGACCCCGACCUGGCCCCCGCAGGCUGAAGACAGACGAUGAGCUGGGGCCUGUUGCGCUGAAUUCCACCUCGGCGCGGCCUGCUGCCCUGCUCCAGCCGCACCUGGCUCGCAGAGGGAGCCUGGCCGGGCACCCUCCAGCUCCCCAGUCAACCCCUCACCCGCGGGCUUCCGGUUCACGCUGCAUCCCAGCACCAAGCCUGGCGCGUCACACAGUGCUGCUCGAUGAGCAUCGCUGAGGGACUGAAGGAACGAGCGGGACUCCUGUUGUUCCCACUUUACAGAUGAGAAACUGAGGCUCUGAGAGGUGGGCCGGCAUGUGGCAGAAUACAACCCUUGCAGGUUGAGGGAAGCCAGGCUUGGGGGAGUGACAGGUCCCACCAAGGUCCCAGUGGUGGGAUUUGAACCAUUUCACUGGCACCGAAGCCUGAGUCUUAACCACCAGCGACGCCUCAUUCUCACAUCUCUUCUAGCCGACUUCCACAGUCAGCAUCCUUGCAGGUCAAAGCCUGUCAUGCAUGUGCUGUGUGGCCUUAGGCAACUCACAUAACCUCUCUGAGCCUUGGUUUCUGCACUGGUAAAACAAAAAACAGACCUCAGGCAGAAUUUCCCUCAGCUCAUUUUUCCUCUGCUUUCUCAGCAUCUAGCGCUGGCUCUGGCAUGCAGUCUGUGCCAAAUAAAUCUGUUGAUUAAUUAAUCAAAAGGACAAGUUUACCUUAGAGCAUUGAAGUCUGCCCAGGAGCUCUCCAGUUGGGUGUCUCUGGGAACAUAUUCCUUCUCUCCCCACUUUAAAGAAACAGAAACUGCAAAAGGCAAGAGAUGCACUGGGCAUGUGGUUCAUGCAAGAGAGACCGGGGAAGCCCAUCGCAGACUCCCAGGCCCUCGGAGAAAAGACCUUUUUCCCACAUCGAAACAUGGGCGGGCGGACGUGCAUCACCAGGCUGCCCGUUAAUACGCAGCGUCGAAGCCAGACGGUGCACUGGUUGCCAUCUUGGCAGCCCCAGCAGAGGCAUCUGGCGACACGGACGCGUGGUCUGAUGGCAUUGGCUGGACGUGUCCAUUUUCUCCAGCCCCACAGGAAGGCUGUGUGUCCCUGCUGUGCCGGCGCUGUGCCAGGCUCUGGGAGACCCCUCCGCGUGAGCCAGGCCCACCCCACCCUGAGGGCGCUCAGAGCUCGGGACCAGGUGGGGUCCCCAAGCUUCGGACCCAGUCCCUGAGGUUCCAGCAGAACAGCCCCAAGUUCCACGGGGCAGGUUCCCACGCCUGGGUGGGUGCUUCUGGAGACCGCAGAGAACUUUCCAGCAGAGUGCACCCCUGGGGCCAGGGUCCAAGGCCGCAGCUGUCGGGGGAGCCCCAAGCCCCUUGCAGGAACCCCAGGGGGCAGCCUCCUGUUCCUGUCCCGAGGAGAGGCCCUGGGGCCCUCGGCCGUCCUGCCGUCCACCCCCAGGCUCCCCAGCUCUGCCCAGGCCCCCCGCCCACAGCGUCCUGCCAGGCUGGCUAAAAGCAGGCGCUGCGCCAGCUUGCCAGCCUCCGGUCCGCAGGGACGACCCUGACCCUGGGCUUCAACAGAGAGGCUGGGAGACACUUGCCUUAGGCUGUGUGUCCUGUCCCCACGUGGCUCCCGGCUGCUCCCAAGAUGGGAACCAGGGUGUCUCUUUCAUAGACUUUCCAGACCCUUCCUGCGGGUCCUACCACCGCUGCGGGCUGGAGUGUCCAUGGGCCCGGCCAGGUCACACACACCCCCACGCCCCAGGGAGCGGGAAGGGCCCGGGGGCUCGCACUGGGCCCCCACACUCAGGAGGCCCCAACCUCGGUUUAAUGCCCUGCUGUGGCCGUCUUCACAGUCUUGGUACGUUUUGAACGUGGGGUCACACAUUCCCCUUUUGCACGGGGGCCCUAAUUCUGCCCCACCCCUGAGAUCCUAGAACUCCUGAAAAGCCUUCAGAAACGGGCAGCAGCAGAAACCGCAAAUAGCCCCACGUCCCGACUCCCACACCAGGGCCCGGGCACUCACUCCUGCACGUGCUCACCUCGCACGGCUGUGCUCACGGGGCCUCACGGGUGCCCCUGCACAUGCACACACAUGCAUGUUUACAUGUAUGACAGCUGUCACCCUGGCCACAAGCUUCCUGCUGUGCGGGUGGCUCGGGAGACCUCGAAAUGCCACCCCAGCACCGCUAGGCUGAGGAGAAAGCAGGGAGGGCCGAGAAAAGCCUGGAGGGGGUGUUGGGGCCAAGGGAGCACCCCUACCUCCCCCAGUCUCCCUGGAAACCAGGGGUGCCCCCCUCGCCCGGGAUCCCGCUUAGUCCUCCCAUAGCUCUCUGCAGGGCCCUCCGCACUGUACCCGCGGGGUCCCCGCAGCCGUCCCCGAGCUCAGGUCUGUGUUACGCCUAUUUUAAGGAUGGCAAAACUGAGGCUCCAGGAAGCAAAGUCGCCCGCUGGAACCAAGGCACGAAGGCAGGCAGACCCGGGAGCUCCAAGCCCCUCAGAGGCUCCUGACAUGUGACAAGCCUCAGCCCACCUCGCCCUGGCCCCCCGUGGGCUUGCCCCCUCCUGUUCCUCACCUGCAGGGGUUUGCUCCCCAGGUGGGGCUCCAGCUGGUUCAGAGGGGCACGUCCUCCCUCCAGGGCUCACACUGGCCCUCACAGGGACAGGUGGGGACAGGUCACUGCCCAGGGGCCCCCAGUGAUCUCGAGAGCCCAGGGCCCCUCCCUCGGCCAGCCUUGCCCUCGACCCCACAGCCCAGGCGCCGGCAAGGGUCUGACCAGUGUGCCUGGGACCUGCCAACGGAGUCCAAGAGCAGAACCCCCCGGGGCAUGGGGACUGGGGUGGGUGUGCUCACAGCGGGGAUGGAUGCGGCUGGUGCCCUGGGGCUGGCUGGGGCUCCCGUGGGGCUGUGGGAGUUCCCGGAAUCUGUCUGCACCUGGCCUUCUCUCAAGAUUGUAGAUGGAGCCUUCUGAAGGUUCCAAAUGGAACAUUCCAGAAGUUCUAAACGGAGGCUCCUCUCCUGGGGGUGCUUCUCAGGGGGACUCCCCUUCGAGCCACAGGGCCAGCGUCCAGGCGGCUGGCUGGGCUGGGAGGAGGGGAGGCCGCAGGCCCGUGGGCCAGGCCUUAUUUGGUCAGAGCCCGCGCCCGCUGCCUGGCCGGAGCUCCUGGGACCGGGAGGCCCACGCCGCCGAGCCUCCGCCGCCCGCAGCUCGCCUGUCCCCAGCCUCCUCGCCAGCCCUGCCCUACGGCCAAGGCUGCGGCCCCAGGGAGCCCGAGAUGCCGGGUCGGCCGAGGUGGUGGCAGCCCUGAUCGCCACCGGGCUGCAGGGUCCCGGCUCCUGUCCAUAUAUGGCCGAGGAGAGGCGGUGGCCACCCGCCCGCCCUCCUGGAGGGGUUGUCCCCAGCGGGGGGCUGGGCACUGGCGCUGAGGCCCCGCGUUCCUGUAGGAGCCUGGCAGGGGCCUAUCUGACGGUGCUGAGAGUGUGCUGGAGCCUCCAGCGCGGGGAGUCACCCACCCGCCCUCCCCCGGGGCAUGUGACUGGCAGCUCUGCGGGAGCGAGCGGAGGGCGCGCGGGCACUGGGCCUGGGAGAGGGACGCAGGUCCGGGUCAGAAGCUCGGGGCGACCGGGCUGGGACCGACCCUCCCGGGCCUCGGCUUCCUGAUCUGGUACCCACCACACCCAGGGGGGGCCCGAGGGUGCAGGGAGGACGAGGGGCAUGGAGGGGCGCCCAGGGGGGGUCACCAUCGGCAGGGCCGCCAGUCUCCGAGUCCUGCUAGUGUCCUGACUCAUCCGUCUUUGUCACUUCAUCCAACCUCACAAACACCAACCUACUUGGGUCUGCCUGGGCCUCUCCUGGUUUUAGCCCCGAGGGUCCUGCCUCCGGGCGACCAGGACAGUUAGUGGCUCGCCCUGCAGGUGGCCCAGCGCCACCAGGAGCUGGGAGAGGGGAGUGGCUGGCCGGAGCCCUUCCUUGACCCAUACCCCCUCCACCCCAACCAGGAGAGGCCAGGGGAAAGCACAGGGCAGCCCCCUCUGUCAAGGCCAAUGACCGCUGGCAGGACCGAGGGAGGGUGGGGCUGCCGCUGGGGGGUGGGGCGAGGGAGUGGCCGGACCUGCCCUCCAAUCCGGAGGCCUGUGACCUCAAGCAUCUUCUGGGCCCCAGUCGCCCCGCCUCCUAAAUGGGAGAGCCACGAUAGGCAGCCAUAGCCCAGCUUCGCGGAUGCCAAGCUCUGUUCAGAGCUGUGCACCCUCGGCAGGAAGGGCUGCUCACUCUGUGCAGACAAGGAGCAGAGCCCAGAGAGUUUGAGACAGCUGCCCCAGGUCACACAGCUGGGAACUGUAGAGCAAGGAUUUGAGCCCAGAACCACCUGCUUCAGGCCCAUGCGUAACACAGGAGACAGCGCCCUGCAGGGGUGGCAUGCAAGGGCUCUGGGGUCAGCCCCUGAGGGCCCAACUCUAGGCUCCCUGGCCUGAAGGUCCCUUGGCCCUGGGCAAGUUGCCGGACCUGUCUGGGUCUGUUCUGCACCUACCACGUGGGGAUGACAACAGUACCCACCUCGCAGGUUGGUCGUUUACCUAAGAAAUUUCUGUUAGGCUCCUACACUGGGCAGACACUGAUCUAGACGCUGAAGAUACGGCAGAGAACAGAACCCACAGAAAUCCCUGCCUGGAGUCUAUAUUCUGGGUGGGAGCACAAAGACCCAAAACAUAGCCCUCUGUUGGGGGAGGGAACAGAGCGUGAGGGGGGCGGUCCCCUUUAACGAGGAGGGAGCCUGCUACCUUCGAGGAGAGGGCAUUUGAGCAGAACCCGAAUGAAAAGAGGGAGCAAGCUGUUCUGAUUUCAGGGAGAAGAGCACUUUGGGCCUGAGGGAACAGCCUGUUCGAGGGAACAGCCAGUGCAAAGGCCCUGAGGCAGGAUGAGGUUGGAAAGGCUGGAGCAGAAGAAGUGGUAGGAGGCAGGCAUGCAGAGGUGGGCAGGGCUCUGGUUGUGCAGGGGAUGAGAAGCCGCUGGAGGGUUUCAAGCAGAGUGAGGACAGGAUCGCAGUGAAGGUUUUAAAGGAUCUGUCUCACUGUGUGAGGGAGGACGCAAUGAUCCGACAGGAGGCGAGCAUGGCUGGGCCCAGGCUGGGAGCAGGGCAGGAGGGGAAGGUCUGAUUCUGGAGAUACUUUCCAAGUCAAGCUGACGGAUGGGAUAUGGCGGGGGCAGAGGGGGAAGGGAGCGGGGAGUUGGAGAGGGUUCUGGGCUCUUGCGAGCACUAAGCGAGUUCACACCCCAGGAGUUCUUCCCCAGGGCCCGGACGGGGUGACUCCCGGUGACCAUGACACUGGCUCCCUAAGCCGCAUCCCACAGUCGUCAUGGCGACUGAAGGAUGACGCACGGCGAGUUCAGCCCAGUGCCUGGCCGGCUGGCAAGGACCAUCGUCACCGCAGGGUCAUCCUCUCACCCCUGGCUCCCUGCUAAGCUCCAGACAGAGGGACGGGUCCCCGCGCCUGUCCUCAAAUCCCGCAGCGUUGGCUCGUCUGGCCAGUCCUGGGACCUGGGCCCCCGUGAGGACACGGGAUCCCUGCAGGAGGGAGGCGUGUCUGGUGGCUCCCGCCUCGGCCCAGGCAUGGAGACAGGUCUCUGCCGCCAGAGGCCUGGCUUGGAUGGUUUCCUGGAGUCUCCGAGGUCUGGGGUUAGGCUCCAUCAUCCGGAGCUUCCUUUGUGAAGCCAUUCGGGGCACGGGCAGCCCCCUCAGAGGACUCAGGACCACCAUCCGAGUCACUUCUCUUGGACACACAAAUCCUCUCAUGCUACCUGCCUUGGCCCCAAACUCUUCAAUGGCUCCCCAUUGCCCUUGAGAUACAAACAACCCUAGGAUGGUCCGUGAGGCCCCGUGGGGCCUGGCCUCCAGCCUCUCCACCACCAUGAUUCCCUCACACUCUGCUCUCCAACCUCUCUGGCCCCUGUCACACUCACUCUGGGCUGCCCUCUCGAAAGCCACUCCCCAUUUCUUCCUUGCUAGCAAAACAUCAGUUUGGUUGGACCAGCAACAUCCCCUGCACCUGGGGACGAAUCACGACUGGUCUAGUCACAGCCGCCCCAUUGCCCUCUGCCAGAUUCUUGCCUUCUCAGCCUCCUUUGCAGCUAGUAGCAGCGACGUGACCCAGUUCUAGUCAAUGAGAUGUAAGCUUUCUCCCUGCUGUCCUGCUUGUGCUGCUGCUGUGAGGUCAAGAGGCUGGAGCAGUGGCAGCCAUUUUGUGAUCAGGAAGCAACUGGUAAAAAGGACUAAAAACUAACACACUAAGGUGACUGAACAGAAGCAUGGGGGAGACCAGGGUCCUUCGUGAACACAAAAAAGAGUUAUAGUCAGGGGACAGGAGCAUGGCUUCCGUGCUCUCCAUCGCCUGUCCAGCCACGCCAAAAUGACCCCCAGACUGACAGAGAUGCCAGGCUCCCUGCAGGAGAGUGUUGUCAGGAGGGCCUAGGCGGAGCUGACAAACGCCGACCUGAGACUGAAAGUGCGUGCAGUCAGACCACGGGGAUCGGGGGGGAAGCAGGCUGUGUCCAGGGGAGAGCCCUGGCCAGGACGACGGGAGCCAGACCCCCAGAGGGAGGCAGGAAGGCACCCUGCACCUGCUCAGGAGGCCUCCUUCGGGGGGCCCUGGAGAAUUACGAGGAAGGCCACGACCCACAGGCCCCAUGGGAGGCCUCUGUCUAGUUCCCUUUCCUGUCACCAUCUCAGCAAGCAAACUAACACUCACUGAAUGAAUGAAAAACCUCCUAGCACUUGUGUGCCAAUCACUACCGUAUUUAACCUCCCACUGACCCUGGGAGGCAGUGACUGCUGCAGAGAGAGUCUGAAGAGUGCCUUCUCGAGACAGCCUGUGGGGAAACUGAGGCUCAAAGGGCUUUGGUGACUCGCUGUGGCCAGGCCAUACGGGCUUUGCAACCAGAAGAGCUGGGUUUCAGUCCCAACUUUGGCACUUGCUGGCUGUGUGACCUGGGACAAAUGGCUGACCCUCUCUGAGCCUCAGCCCACUCCUCGGCGGCACAGAGAGGAAGAUAACGGUCUGCCGCAGAGGGCUCCUGAGGGGUGAGCGGUGGUGUCCACCAAGGCCGACCACAGAGAACAUGGUCUACACCAGGGGUCGGCAAACUAGCGCCAAACCCGCCCAACACCUGAAUUCGUAAAUGAAGCUUCGUGGGCACCCAGCCGUGUGUGUACAGUUGAGGGCUGCUUCGGUGCCAUGACCACAGAGCUGAGUCAUUUCAACAGAAACGGGAUGGCCCACAAAACUGAGGGUACUUACCGUCUGUCCAGACAGAAAGUUCGUCUACACCCCGACCGAUCCGAGCAUGAGAUCCUGGCAGCGUCAGCAACGUGGGUUGGAGAUGCAGGACCUCAGGCCCCCUGACUGGCACCAGAGCCUGCAUUUUAACCAGACGGCCCAGGCGGGGAAGAUCCGGCUGGAGAACGACAGUUUAUUUUAAAAGAAAAUUCUCUGUGAUCCAUGUAAAUGGAAAAGGAGUGUCACUGCCACCAAGAGAAGACGACUCCGAAAACGAGCACGUGGGAGAUAAGUCACGCAGUAAACGCCGCUGCCUGCCCGCGGCUCGGAGCCGGAGCCCUGCCCUCGCUCUGCUAAGCAGGGGCUGAGCAGCUGGGGGACCGGCUGUAAAGACGCAGGCACCAGGCUAAACUGAGAAGAGGAGAAAAAUUGUCAAAGAGGAAGGGCCUUCUCCCCGUGCCCUGCGCUGAGCCUCCUGUCGGCCACAGAGUCUGGGUCCCGCAUUUCCCACACCCCCAUCCCACAAACCCCUUCUUCAGAGAUGGGGAGCCAGGGCCCCAAGCACAGAAGCCACCGUUCCCUCAGAGCUCGUGACACAUCGACACUCACACCAGCCUCGGACGUGCCACCAGGAUGUGUCCCCUCCCGUCCCCUUCUCAGGAGGCAGAGCAUCUCCACAGUCUCAGCCUCCUUGAAGCCGCAGCUGCCUGGAGCUGUCGCCAUCCUUCCAGCACUUCCACCCUCGAGGCCACCGGUGCUUCUGCCCAGAGCGGACACUGGGGUUCUGGGCAUCACUUCAACUGCUCAGCGUCCAUCGAGGCGGUGUGAAGGGCUGGGCUCCUUCCUCGGGCACACACAGAGCGCGGGUGGCUGGGUCUGCAGGCCGGGCCUGGCCACCUCGAGACCAGCCACCAGUGGCCGGUCGUCAGGAUGGUGGCUCGCCCACAUUCCAGAGCCGCAGGCUGGGGCAUGCCUGCCGGGCAGUGGCUGGUGUUUACCGCCAGGCAGAAGCACAAAGGAGCCCUUUUGUCUCCAGGCCGCACCCUGGUGACCGCACACCCCACGGAGCUGCAGGUCACCCUCUCUCUGGUGGGCAAUUCUGCCUUCAUGUUACCGAGCAACUGCGUGGGGCGGAGACCCCCCACUGCCAUCGAGUUUGAGGUGGUGCCGCCUGGGUUCAGCCCUCAGCCCUGCCGCUCACCUCCUGAGGGACCUCGGGGGAAGGGCUGACUCAGGGCCUCAUAAACACACAGAUGCAGAGCGGCUGUAAGGAUUAAAGAGUAAUCACGUUCAGCAUUUCAAACAGUGUGAGCGCUCCACAAAUGUUAGCACGGGGCAUCUGAGUUUUUCGAUUUUUGGUUUUUCCAUCUCCCACUUUCAAAUAACUCCACUAUGCAUGUUUCUGUCCCUGAGGACAAAAAUGUUUUGCCAAAAGAUGAAACGCUGGGUUGGAGGGUACGUGCAGUGUCACAGCCCUUGUUUCACACAGACACAGUGAUCUUCAGCAUCUGAAUCUGUUUACAGCGAAGCUGAUGUGUCAUUUUCCCCACAUCCCUGCCAACACUGGGUUUUAUCAUUUUAUACUUGUUUUCUAACUUCAUCGGCCUGUAGAGCAGCUCUCGUGUGCACCUGUUGCUCUGCCUGCCAGACUGUGCAUUCUCCCAGGUAACAGUUAACUGUCGACGUUUCCUCAGGGAUAAACGUUUUGUUCCGCUCCUUUGAAGGUUUCUCAGACGGCAUCUGCAACAGUUCCUGGCAGGUGCACGCUGGAAGCAUCUUCCGAGCAGGAAGGGGGGACGAGAGAGGCUGCAGCUUGGGAAGGCAGUGACAGUCUCUGCCCCCACCCCCCAUUGCCUGCCUUCCAUUCCCCUGAGCGUCCUCAGAGCACCCCCCAUGGAGGAAACCCUUCCGGGGCUGGGGUUGCAGGCACUGAGGCGGGGGGGGGGGGGGGGGGGGGGGGGGGGGGGGGGGGGGUAGGAAGAACGGAGGGACCAGAGGAAUGGGCUGCAUUUCCUGGAGCAAGAAGCCAGCCAGUGAGGCCGAGGUGCAGCAGGUGCAGUCCCGCAGCAACUCUCCCCGGAGCCCUGGGGGCCAGGAACCUCUCCUUCCAAACUGACGGGUCAGAAUAAACGCCUCCACAAGUUAGGAUUCCAGGCGACGGUCCCUCCUUGCUCCUUCCUCACUGAGGCUCCCAGGCGCUGUGUCGGCAAGAUGCCAGCACCUCUUUCUCAGGUCAUCCCUCACCCGGAACCUGCGAGGACCCCAAAGUCGUCGUCAACCACAGGGGGCGGGGCCGGUUCCCAACCAAACAUCCCUGCCGCCGGGGGUCUUGCCACCACACGGGCUUGCUGUGGAAGACGGGUCUGGAACAGCCUAGCAGACGGGAGUUCACUGUGCAGCGGCGCCCGGGCUGGCUGAACUGGCCGCCCGCAUCUUGAAUGUCGCCCACACUUCGAACUUGAGUUUCCAGCUCUCGAGGGUCACUCAACACUCAGAACAGAAUGACAAGUCACUUCCCCAUCCAACACACCUCCUGGGUCCCCACCCCCAGCACAGAAGCCCCCUGGGCAGCCCAGAUGGUGGCACUGCCCCUACUUUGACAGAGAGGCACCUGGAGCCUCAAAGAGUAACAUUUCCGGAGUCACCCGGCUAGAGUCACCACCCUGGGCACUGAAGGGUGUUUAGCAGCAUCCCUGGUCCCCACCCACGGGACUCCAGGAGCAUCCCCACCCCAGCCGUGACAACCAAAAAUGUCCCCGGACAUUGCCCAGUGUCCCCGAGGGGCAGACUCGCCCCCACUGGAGAACCACUGCUUUGGACGUGGCUGAACACAUCUGCUGUCUGGGGACCAGUGUCCAGCAGAUUCUCCUGAUCUUUGGGAUCCACACCAUCUCGGUGGCCUGUGGGGGCCCUGUAGGACCUCACCACCCCUCUCCAGCUUGCCCUAAUGCGGUCGCCUGCUGUUUCCUCUGCCCUCAGCUCUCUCUGUGUCUCUGGUCCCCUUCCAGGCCCUUCCACGCCCUCAGGGGCCAGCAGAGGCAGGCCCUGACUACACUCCCUGAGCGCCCCAGCUUCACCAUCCCCCUCCAGCCAUCCCCCUGAUUUAGUGUCCUCACGGCCUUUUCUUAAAUUGCCCUGUUUCUGUAUCUCCUUAUUGACGUGUUUGUUUCCGUCUCAGCUCCACGGGGCUCGUCCAUCCCGUUCUCUGCUGUCCCCAGAGCACAGCAGAGCACACGGCGCACGGAACAUGCUCAGGACGCUCCACGAAUGAGCCGGGAGACGGGCGGGCUCCUUGGGUCCUAGAAAUGGACCUCAUCCGCCCCCAGGCCGCGGAGGUGAGCAAAGCCUGCCAGGCCGCCUCACCCGAGCACCCCCCAAGCGUGCCCACCACCCCUUGGGCUCCUCGGGGCUCUUGGGAAACAGCACGGCAAGCCCCCUCGACCCUCCCCGGGGCCAGAAGCCACCGCCGGCCAGUGCAGGAGGCAGCGGCUCUAAUUAUAGAAGGCAGGUUG
rnacentral:lncRNA from 1 species